rnacentral:rRNA from 1 species
UGGGGAAUAUUGGACAAUGGGCGAAAGCCUGAUCCAGCCAUGCCGCGUGUGUGAAGAAGGUCUUCGGAUUGUAAAGCACUUUAAGUUGGGAGGAAGGGCAGGAAGCGAAUACCUUGCUGUUUUGACGUUACCGACAGAAUAAGCACCGGCUAACUCUGUGCCAGCAGCCGCGGUAAUACAGAGGGUGCAAGCGUUAAUCGGAAUUACUGGGCGUAAAGCGCGCGUAGGUGGUUCGUUAAGUUGAAUGUGAAAGCCCCGGGCUCAACCUGGGAACUGCAUCCACAACUGGCGAGCUAGAGUAGGGCAGAGGGUGGUGGAAUUUCCUGUGUAGCGGUGAAAUGCGUAGAUAUAGGAAGGAACACCAGUGGCGAAGGCGACCACCUGGGCUCAUACUGACACUGAGGUGCGAAAGCGUGGGGAGCAAACAGG